UACGUAGGGUGCAAGCGUUAAUCGGAAUUACUGGGCGUAAAGCGUGCGCAGGCGGUUGUGCAAGUCAGAUGUGCAAUCCCCGGGCUUAACCUGGGAACUGCAUUUGUGACUGCACGGCUAGAGUGUGUCAGAGGGGGGUAGAAUUCCACGUGUAGCAGUGAAAUGCGUAGAUAUGUGGAGGAAUACCGAUGGCGAAGGCAGCCCCCUGGGAUAACACUGACGCUCAUGCACGAAAGCGUGGGGAGCAAACAGG
rnacentral:rRNA from 1 species